rnacentral:lncRNA from 1 species
AACAUUUGAACCCCGGCGGUGGAGUUUUCCCACAAUCAACGAGGACCUCAAGUGCAAUGGGUAUGAUGAUAUUGAUGUUGAGAAGCUUAGCUUUAAUGGUGGUGCAAAGACACAAAGCAGCAUCCAAGUCCACAAGCCCUUGAAGCACUGGACAGCAAGCGUCCUUAGCACUACUGCCGACACCAAUGUGUACUAGACCACCUAGGACGUCGACACAUGCUCCUAGCUUGAGAGUGUCAAUGGGGCAAGUCUCUUGCUUUGGCGGUGGUGGUGGGCAUGGCACUGGAGGUGGUGGAGGAGGAGGGCAUGGCGUUUCAGUUGGUGGUGAUGGUGGUUUUACAGGUGGGGUCACUGGAGGCUUUGGUGGUGCUGGGGUUACAGGUGGACUUGGAUAGUAGGGUGGCGUUGGAGUUACCGGAGGCUUUGGUGGUAAAGUUGGUGGUGUUGGGACCACCGGAGGUUUAGGUGGUAAAGUUGGUGGCGUCGGGACCACCGGAGGCUUUGGUGGCAAAGUUGGUGGUGUUGGGGUCACCGGAGGCUUUGGUGGUAAAGUUGGUGGUGAUGGGGUCACCGGAGGCUUUGGUGGUAAAGUUGGUGGUUUCGGUGGGUAAACGAUAGGCGGUUUUGGAUAAUAUGGUGGCGGUUUUGGUGGUAAAGUUGGUGGUUUCGGUGGGUAAACGAUAGGCGGUUUUGGAUAAUAUGGUGGCUUUACAACAGGAGGUUUGGGUACCAAAGGUGGCGGCUUUACUACAGGAGGUUUUGGCACAUAGGGUGGGUGAACAAUUGGAGGCUUGGGUGUGAUAGGUGGUUUAGGCACAUGUGGCGGUUUGGGCGUGGUUGGUGGUUUCACAAUGGGUGGCUUGGGUACGUGCGGUGGUUUGUGGACAGGAGGCUUGGGUAUAUAGGGUGGUUUGUGAACAGGAGGCUUGGGUGGUUUUGGUGGUUUAUGGUGAGGAGGUGGCUUUACCUUUGGGGGAUGUUUGGGUGGAAAUUUGGGAGGAUAUUUGGGUGGCUUAGGUGGUGGAGUUGGGUAAGGACAGUAAGGGCAAGCAAGAGAAGAAAGCAAAGUACCAAUGUGGAGGAGGAUGAUCAAGAGAUUUCCGAAAGCAUAUUUCGCCAUCUUUACUCUUCUAUCUCAGUACUGAAUGAAGCUCAUAGCCUUAUUAUAUAGUGAGAAAUUAAUAUGAAAAAAUAUAUUUUAAUUAAAAAAUAAAUAAAAACUAUAUAAGAAUUGUAUAAUUUAUUUCAAACAGUAGAUAAAUGAAGAUGUUAACAUCCCUCAUCUGAUUAUAAGCUGAGUUGGCUUCAGCUUUAAAUCUAUGUAAUUAUAGAAUACAACCUGAAGAUAUCUUCUUCUACUCAUAAAUUUGGGAUACAU